UUUACCUUAACAGCACAUUAUGCCAAAAUUGGAAUGACACCGAAAUUAGCAUAGCCCCUGUGCAAGGAUGACAUACAAGUUUGUGGAGCAUUCCCCAGUUGU